GGAUGUGCGGUAUAUGUGCC
rnacentral:siRNA from 1 species